rnacentral:rRNA from 1 species
GGUUCGACUCCGGAGAGGGAGCCUGAGAAAUGGCUACCACAUCCAAGGAUGGCAGCAGGCGCGCAAAUUACCCACUCUCAGUACGAGGAGGUAGUGACGAAAAAUAACAAUGCGGGACUCAUCAGAGGCCUCGCAAUUGGAAUGAGCGCACUUUAAAUCGUUCGACGAGGAUCUAUUGGAGGGCAAGUCUGGUGCCAGCAGCCGCGGUAAUUCCAGCUCCAAUAGCGUAUAUUAAAGUUGUUGCAGUUAAAAAGCUCGUAGUUGGAUCUGGGGUUCGGGUCGGCGGUUUGCCGCUUCGGCGGCUACUGCCGUGCUCGACUCUUACUAGCCGGUGCGUCUUGCGGUGCUCUUCAUCGAGUGCCGUAGGAGCCUGGCAUGUUUACUUUGAAAAAAUUAGAGUGCUCAAAGCAGGCGAUUCCGCCUGAAUAGUGUUGCAUGGAAUAAUGGAAUAGGACCUCGGUUCUAUUUUGUUGGUUUUCGGAACUUGAGGUAAUGAUUAAGAGGGACGGUCGGGGGCAUUCGUAUUUCGGUGUUAGAGGUGAAAUUCUUGGAUCGCUGAAAGACGGACAAAUGCGAAAGCAUCUGCCAAGAACGGCUCCAUUAAUCAAGAACGAAAGUCAGAGGUUCGAAGACGAUCAGACACCGUCCUAGUUCUGACCAUAAACGAUGCCAACUAGCGAUCCGCAGUGGUUGCUAUAAACGGACUCUGCGAGCAGCUUCCGGGAAACCAAAGUGUUUGGGUUCCGGGGGAAGUAUGGUUGCAAAGCUGAAACUUAAAGGAAUUGACGGAAGGGCACCACCAGGAGUGGAGCCUGCGGCUUAAUUUGACCCAACACGGGGAAACUCACCCGGUCCGGACACUGUAAGGAUUGACAGAUCGAGAGCUCUUUCUUGAUUCGGUGGAUGGUGGUGCAUGGCCGUUCUUAGUUGGUGGAGUGAUUUGUCUGGUUAAUUCCGAUAACGAACGAGACUCUAGCCUGCUAACUAGUUGCGCCGUGUUCAUACGCGGCUGUAGACUUCUUAGAGGGACAGGUGGCGUUUAGCCACACGAAAUUGAGCAAUAACAGGUCUGUGAUGCCCUUAGAUGUCCGGGGCCGCACGCGCGCUACACUGAAGGAGUCAGCGUGUGCUAUCCGGGCUCGGAAGAGUUCGGUAACCCGUUGAAACUCCUUCGUGCUUGGGAUUGUGGCUUGUAAUUAUCGCGCAUGAACGAGGAAUUCCCAGUAAGUGCAAGUCAUCAGCUUGCGCUGACUACGUCCCUGCCCUUUGUACACACCGCCCGUCGCUACUACCGAUUGAAUGGUUUAGCAAGGUACUCGGAUUGGUCUCGAUCUUGUACGAAAGUGCGGGAUCUGUGUCCGAGAAGAAGGCCAAACUUGAUCAUUUAGAGGAAGUAAAAGUCGUAACAAGGUU